rnacentral:misc_RNA from 1 species
UCUCCGUAGGUGAACCUGCGGAGGGAUCAUUGCAGAGUUCUCGCCCUCGCGGGUAGAUCUCCCACCCACUGUUAUCGUUACUGUGUUGCUUUGGCGGGCCGCCGGGCCCCGCUCGGCCGCCGGCUCCGGCUGGCGCGCGCCCGCCAGAGGCCCAGCAAACUCUGAAUGUUAGUGUCGUCUGAGUACUAUAUAAUAGUUAAAACUUUCAACAACGGAUCUCUUGGUUCUG